GGGGGCAACCCUGACGCAGCCACGCCGCGUGCCGGAAGACGGCCCUAUGGGUUGUAAACGGCUUUUGUUGGGGAAGAACCUUCUGGUUUCGACCGGAACUGACGGUACCCAUCGAACAAGCACCGGCUAACUCCGUGCCAGCAGCCGCGGUAAUACGGAGGGUGCAAGCGUUGUCCGGAAUUAUUGGGUGUAAAGGGUGCGCAGGCGUCCCAAAAAGUUUUCGGUGAAAUCUUUCGGCUUAACCGAGGAAGUGCCGGAAAUACUUUUGGGAUUGAGUUCAGAAGAGGUUGGUGGAAUUCGUGGUGUAGCGGUGAAAUGCAUAGAGAUCACGAAGAACACCGGUGGCGAAAGCGGCCAACUGGUCUGACACUGACGCUGAGGCACGAGAGCGUGGGUAGCGAACAGGAUUAGAUACCCUGGUAGUCCACGCUGUAAACGAUGUAUGCUAGAUGUUGGUCCUUCGGGAUCAGUGUCGUAGUUAACGCGCUAAGCAUACCACCUGGGGAGUACGUUCGCAAGAAUG
rnacentral:rRNA from 1 species